CAUGGGGUGAGCCUGGGCUGCCUCUAUUUUGCUCUAUGUUUAUUUCGUUUUGUCACUAUCUUAAAGAGAAAGACAGCAGGUUUUCUCCCAAACAGUUUUUCCCUUCAGGGUAAGGGAUGUCAGCCAGAGGGUGCAGAAGCACAAAGACUCGGAGGACAAGAGAAAGCACAACAAAAACAGAACCCUGCUUUCGAGAGUAGUGGUAGUAAUCCGGCCUUCACGUGGAGAGGGGAAAAGUAAAAUACAAAUGGAAGAGCCAGAUGCUCAGGCAAAUGUCUCAAAGGAAGACCAUCACGAGAGUCACCUGGUCUAACUUGAAAGAAACCCAACUUAAGAGCUGCGACUGAAUGGAAUCCAGAGUUUUAUAUUUUUCAUCACACUCGAGGCUGGCACACCCAGCCCUCACUUCCUCCCUGCCAGCCACUCUGUGACCUCGCUUGACACCCAGAGCCCUGAAGCCUAGUUGCUGAUAACCCAUCACGAGGCCCAGCACAGCACCCCUCCCCCAACCGUCCCACCCCGGGUACCCUGGGAGGGAGAGAUAAAAACCCCCACUGGGGAAGAGCAGCCCGCUCUGGCUUCUCCUAAAGAACCAUGCACGCCAAGCUGGCAGGAAAACCGCACCUGCAUGGGCAAGAUAACACUCUCCUGGAUUCAAGGACGAGCAGGGUGAUCUGGUCCCUGGAACCCAAUCUCCACAGAGGAUUUUAUUUAUCCCAUUGCUGAGCAAUCCCAAGCACCUGGGGAAGCGUUUGGCUCAAGUGAGUGCUCAAUGAAGAGUUGCUGAGUCCAUGAAUGAAUGCACCUGCCACUGCAUUUUUGGGGUGGGUUUUGCUGUUGCUGUCCUAUAGUCUCCAAGUCUUAUAAAAAUUUCUGUCAAUCACAUUCAACAUUGAUGAGACAUGAGUUUACCAUUAAAAAAUGUCAGUUAA